rnacentral:tRNA from 1 species
GUUCGGGUAGCUCAGUGGUAGAGCGGCAGAUUGCAAGUCCUUUAUAAUCUGAAGGUCGCGGGAUCAACCCCCGCCCUGAACU